ACGUAUUGGUAAAUGUUGUGAAAUGGAUACUUUGAACAGAGUUUCCAGGUUAGCUCGGGUUAGAGGCCGUCAGAGAUAUUAUCACACUGUCAAGCUAACGCUAUUGGUGUAGUGAUUUCAAGUACUUUGAGCCUAUGGCAUGUAUAGGAGUUUAAAUAUUAGAGUAUGUGAUAUGGCUUUAACCAUAUGUGUUGGCCUAUUUUGAUUAUGGGGUUGUAAAUCUAUUUUAAUUAUGCAUGCAUGUGCUAUGGUAUUAUGUGGUGAGUUUAUAAUAA